GGGCCUCCAAGCGACGACGGGUAGCCGACCUGAGAGGGUGAUCGGCCACACUGGGACUGAGACACGGCCCAUACUCCUACGGGAGGCAGCAGUGGGGAAUAUUGCACAAUGGGCGCAAGCCUGAUGCAGCGACGCCGCGUGAGGGAUGACGGCCUUCGGGUUGUAAACCUCUUUCACCAGGGACGAAGCGUGAGUGACGGUACCUGGAGAAGAAGCACCGGCCAACUACGUGCCAGCAGCCGCGGUAAUACGUAGGGUGCGAGCGUUGUCCGGAAUUACUGGGCGUAAAGAGCUCGUAGGCGGUUUGUCGCGUCGUCUGUGAAAUUCUGCAACUCAAUUGCAGGCGUGCAGGCGAUACGGGCAGACUUGAGUACUACAGGGGAGACUGGAAUUCCUGGUGUAGCGGUGAAAUGCGCAGAUAUCAGGAGGAACACCGGUGGCGAAGGCGGGUCUCUGGGUAGUAACUGACGCUGAGGAGCGAAAGCGUGGGUAGCGAACAGGAUUAGAUACCCUGGUAGUCCACGCCGUAAACGGUGGGUACUAGGUGUGGGUUCCUUUUCACGGGAUCCGUGCCGUAGCUAACGCAUUAAGUACCCCGCCUGGGGAGUACGG
rnacentral:rRNA from 1 species